UCGGACAUGGAAAUGAACCAGGGUCUAGAAGUUCCUAAAAUUGGCAUUUUGUGAUUCUUUUCAUUUUAAACUCUAUUUUCGUGUCUUCCUUUGGUUCCAGCCCCCAGCAGAUGAUGAGCAUCCGAGCUGACUUCCCUUGCAACUGUGAAGACCCAGUUGCUCACUGAGGACUACUCAGGCUGUUUGCUCAGGAAAGAGCUGGCUUAGGCCUCAUCAUAUCCUGAUGUACUGGGAAUGGUGCUGCAGACCUAGACUUCCAUUAUUCUGUUCUCCAAGCAGGAAGCACACUAC
rnacentral:lncRNA from 1 species